UCGCCGUGGAGCUGGAUUGUGGGCGGAAACAGGAUAUUCGGAGCGAGCGUCGGGCUGAGGUGUGUUUAUGGGAGUUUUUAGGGCCGAUUUCUGAAGAAGUGGAGUUUCAGCCUGACAGGAAAAAGCGGCGGAGACAAAGAGCAGGAACUCCGGUGUUAGUUGGACGGCGGUGGGACUCUCCUCCCGGCUCUGGACGACUGAGGCACCAUGAAGAGGUUCAAGCGACACGGCCACGAAUCGCAGCGGGAUCGCCUCAAGCAUGAGCUCUUCCAGUUCACCAAGACGGUGGAGCAUGGAUUCCCCCACCAGCCCAGCGCUCUGGGCUACAGCCCUUCUCUUCAGCUCAUGGCCAUUGGGACUCGCUCUGGAGCCAUCAAACUGUAUCCUCUCAUUGAAGCCUGAGACUAAAGGCUGCCG